GGUGAGAAGAGCUGAGAGCUGAAAUCAGAAAUCCAGGAUGCUAAGGAAAAUCAUGCAGGACAACAUCUGUGUACACCAUGUAAGCCACAGUUCCCAUCAUUUUUUGAUGAAUGGCUCUUCACCAACCUUCAGUGUUCCUUGCAGAACAUCGUGUACUAUUAUUACCUAAAAAUUAAUUGGAAACAUUAAUGGAAGCAUCGCUUAAUGUAACUCC
rnacentral:lncRNA from 1 species